GUCCUAGCUGUAAACGGUGCAUAUUUGCUGUAAAAGGAAUCGACCCCUUUUGUGGCGAAGCUAACGCGAUAAAUAUGCCGCCUGGGAAGUACGGUCGCAAGAUUAAAACUCAAAGAAAUUGACGGGGGCCUGCACAAGCGGUGGAGUAUGUGGCUUAAUUCGAUACAACGCGAAGAACCUUACCUGGCCUUGACAUGCACAUAGUAGAAGGGUGAAAGCCUGACGAGGUAGCAAUACCAGUGUGCACAGGUGCUGCAUGGCUGUCGU
rnacentral:rRNA from 1 species